rnacentral:rRNA from 1 species
CCUACGGGGGGCAGCAGUAGGGAAUCUUCCGCAAUGGACGAAAGUCUGACGGAGCAACGCCGCGUGAGCGAAGAAGGCCUUCGGGUCGUAAAGCUCUGUUGUUAGGGAAGAACAAGUACUGGAGUAACUGCCGGUACCGUGACGGUACCUAACCAGAAAGCCACGGCUAACUACGUGCCAGCAGCCGCGGUAAUACGUAGGGGGCAAGCGUUAUCCGGAAUCACUGGGUGUAAAGGGUGCGUAGGCGGUAGGGCAAGUCAGAUGUGAAAGCCCGGGGCUCAACCCCGGGAUUGCAUUUGAAACUGUCUUACUAGAGUGCAGGAGAGGAAAGCGGAAUUCCUAGUGUAGCGGUGAAAUGCGUAGAUAUUAGGAAGAACACCAGUGGCGAAGGCGGCUCUCUGGACUGUAACUGACGCUGAGGCACGAAAGCGUGGGGAGCGAACAGGAUUAGAUACCCGUGUAGUC